rnacentral:rRNA from 1 species
CGUGUAGGCGGCUUGGCAAGUCGGAUGUGAAAUCCCGGGGCCCAACCCCGGAACUGCAUUCGAAACUGCCUGGCUGGAGUCCCGGAGAGGAAGGCGGAAUUCCCGGUGUAGAGGUGAAAUUCGUAGAUAUCGGGAGGAACACCAGUGGCGAAGGCGGCCUUCUGGACGGUGACUGACGCUGAGACGCGAAAGCGUGGGGAGCAAACAGGAUUAGAUACCCUGGUAGUCC